rnacentral:rRNA from 1 species
AGGACGAACGCUGGCGGCGUGCUUAACACAUGCAAGUCGAACGGAAAGGGCCCGCUUGCGGGUACUCGAGUGGCGAACGGGUGAGUAACACGUGGGCAACCUGCCCUCAGCUUCGGGAUAACACUUGGAAACAGGUGCUAAUACCGGAUAAUAACCUUUCAUCGCAUGGUGGUGGGUUCAAAGUUUUUCGGCUGAGGAUGGGCCCGCGGCCUAUCAGCUUGUUGGUGGGGUAAUGGCCUACCAAGGCGACGACGGGUA